AGGAGCGCAGACGUUGGAGCGCGCUCUGUGCGGUGUCCACAUCACCCUCCUAAGGCUAUACGGAUAUUCUAGAACCAUAUUACACAAGGAUACUUGACUUGCUUCUUCAGAACCUGAACAAAUCGUACAGAGACGACCCCAAAUCAGGAGCUGCUGUAUCAGGCCAGUUUAUGGCGGCAUCAUACAUGGGGGUGGCGUGCGGCCACAGUCUAUACAGGAGUACCACCACCAUCAAGUUACAUUCCAACCUGCUGUAUACAUCCGGCCACAGCCAACAUAAAAUUAUAGCGGACGUUGAAGUCUCUGUGAAGACGACGGUUAUCGGUGAUCAAGGUCAGAAAAGAAUAGGAGGGAAAUGAUAGAACGGCUGGUGGCGCGCUACCUGCGAGCUCUCAUAUAACGAGACAAUGGACCCAGAUUAUUUAUCAAGACCGGAUCAGGAACUUCAAACACCCAUCCACUGCCUCUCUGCCGGGAGCUGCUGCUUAAAUAAUGUUCCUGGGGAUUAGAGACCGAGAACUGAGGCUGAUCUGACAAGCUGCAGAGCGGAGUCCCUCGCUGCGCCUUCCCCACAAUGAAAUAUUCAUCUGUGAUGAAUUCUGACAGCAACUUGGAAAUCUGCAACAAGAAUACCUGCUGCUGCACAAGGCUGGAGAUCCAGGGCUACCACCACGCAACCAGGGAGCA